AGGCGCCCCCGGAAAUUUUCAAACAUACACAAAUAUGUAACCAUCAUGCAGCCUUGACACUUAACUAUACACGCCCAAUCUUGUUUCAUCUGUUCCACUCUGCUACCCCUGGAUUACUGCGAAAAAACAAUCCUAGAUAUUUCACUUGCAAAUGUUUCUGUCCGGUCUACAGUAUCUCUUUAUAACUAUUCAGGAUGAUCUCUUAAACAUGAAAAAAAACAAUUUUGUGACUCAUACUUGCUUGAAAUCCUUCAACGACUUAUCUUGGCCAUCCUUCACAUGGCCUCCAGUGUCCUUCACACACAGCAUCAUCUCCUACAACCCCAAUAGCCCUACCCCUUUGCUCACUACAGUCCGGCCCCACUGCCAGACAGGUACUCAAAUGGAUUCUAUCUCAAGAUCUUUGUGUACUUCUUGAACCUGACUAGCUUCUCUUCAGCCUUUGGUUUCAGCUUAAAUGUCAUUUCCUCAGGAUGGCCGCCCUCGAUGACCUAGAUUGGGUUACAUCAACCUGCUGUAUCUUCUCAAAGCACCUUAGACUUUAAAAAAAAAUCAAAUUGUUAAGUAUACCGUUAUUUGUAUAAUUUCUUUUGCGAACAUCUUUUUUCCUUCCUAUUCCUGCUGGACUUAAAUUCCUUGAGGGCAAGGACGAUGUCUGUCAUGGUCCUCCCUGCACCUCCAGCCCCUUGUGUAGUACCUGAACACAGCAGAACCAUGGCUGCUAUGCAUAUAUGCAUGGAUACAUGCCUGUUAAAAGAAUAAGUGAAUCAGUAUCUGUGUGGCUAUUUACAUCCCCCAUAGGUGUCUUUGGUUUGGACAGAAACUCCUGGAAAAACACAAUACAGUUCUCUCUGGAAUAAAAAUUCAACCCAGCCUCAUGUACAACUUAGCACUUAAUGACCUUGGUGAUGUUGGUGGAUCUUGAUCAAGGAGAGAGGGUGAUGAUAACGACACCUCUCAGUAUGCUAUGAAAUUACUACUCAUAACUCGGCAAUACUGAGAACUUAACUCCCAUAUCGUGCGUGCCACUUCGAAAGUGCUUUCAUGUGUACUCCCUCAUUUGAAGUGGGUACCAGUGGUGUCAUCAUCCCUGCUUUGCAGAGGGAGACUGAAGAGCCGUGGCAGAAGGGGAAUGAGGCUGCAUGCCUCUCAGACUAGUGCGUGUUUCUUCCACUCUAUCGUGUGAAGUCGGUUCACCUCUCUGGGUCUCGGCUUCAUCUGCCAAUGAGGGAUUUAGACAAACUGCUUUUUAAAGAUUUUUUCAUCUCAGCAAUUCUGUGUGUAUGUUUCUAAUAGUCACCAUGCUCUAAAAAUUAAGGGUAAUGACAAGUGAUUGCAGUCCAAAACUUAGCUUGGAGGACCUCCUGACAGUUUUUAGGACCACGCAAGACACCAGCCAAUGGAGUCAACGUUCAACAUUAGGAACUCUUGAUGUCACCAAGUUCCCAGAAUUAUAGGCGGUCACAAAAUCCUGGAAAAGGGCUUGAAGUCAAUAUUUUUAAAGACAGCAAUGUGCCUUAUCUAGAACUGGAAUUGCACAACGGAAUAAAGGCUUGUUCAGAGUCCUUAAAAAUGUCUCAGCUUAUCACACUUCUAACAUAGAUGGACUCCCCAAGCCCUCCGUUAUCUGGCAGAGGACCAUUUGUUCCCACUGAGCCAGUCAAAACCACUCAAAAGUUACUGCAGACAACAGUUUGUGAAUACAUCACAUCGUAAAACCAUUGGCCUAUUCGCCACAAGUAAAACUAGUAGAUUUGGAUGUUUAUACAACCUGAAGUCAUCCCUUCCUAACCUCCUCACUGAAUCCUCUUCCACUGUCACCCCUGGAACCCUGGUGGGCCCUAAGCCCCAUCCUCCAACCUCCUUUUAUUCUUCAGCCUGUACCCUAGUCAUGUUUGUGCCCGUGUUCUUACUGGUCUGGGUUUUUCUUUUAUUUUUUAAAAAACCUGUGGUAUAAUACACAGAACAUGAUAUUUACCUUCUGAACCACUUUUAAGUGUGUAG